rnacentral:lncRNA from 1 species
AUUACAGUCCAGUGUAUAUAUAAAGCCAUCUCCAUUCGCAUCGUACCAAGCAACUCUUUGACUCGGACAGUGAAGCUCUACUCUUGAGGCAGGAGCAUACGGAUAAUCAUGAAGGCUGUGCUGUGCUUGCUGGUGAUUUGCCUCAUACUGGCCACUGCUGCCGCAAUCAAGGGCUUCGGCCACAAAGGCGGAUUUGGCGGAGGUGGAUUUGGCCACGGAGGAGGCUACGGACACGGGGAGGAUUUGGCCAUGGAGGAGGUUUCGGCCACUGGUGGCAAGUUUGGAAAGUUCCA